UCUGACAUGAUAGAAAGGACCACUAUACAGCUUAUAAAAGCAGGAGAUACAAGUUUCUACCACCUUGGGCAGAGAUACAAAGAAACAAAAAGAUGGAAGUCCCAAAUGCCACGCCAUGUGAGGGUGUCGCCACAUCCUGGUGGGAGCAGAACAGCCAAUCAGAAUGGACAGGGGCAGUUGCCCUGAAGAAGGAUUCCGGAAGGCCCAUCUUGUUACAGAUGCUACCACUAUUUGUUGCUGGAUAACGGGGAGACAGAAGGAGGUGAUUCAGAAGGCCGCAGCUAUGGGCAACUGGUGAUUGACAGCUUUAC